rnacentral:ncRNA from 1 species
CGAGCGUGGUCGGGAGAGCGCACCGGGAAGCACAUGCCGGGGCCGCCGAAGGGGUAAUACCCACAAACUCUCAGGCAUCAAGGACCGUCCACGCCGA